rnacentral:tRNA from 1 species
GAUAAGGCAGUGCAUGGAAAAU